UACGGAGGGUGCAAGCGUUGUCCGGAAUCACUGGGCGUAAAGGGCGCGUAGGCGGCUCAUGAAGGCUGUGGUGAAAGUCCGGGGCUCAACCUCGGAUCGGCCGUGGCGACUCGUGGGCUGGAGCACUGUAGAGGCGGGUGGAAUUCCGGGUGUAGCGGUGGAAUGCGUAGAGAUCCGGAAGAACACCAGUGGCGAAGGCGGCCCGCUGGGCAGUGGCUGACGCUGUGGCGCGAAAGCUAGGGGAGCGAACGGG
rnacentral:rRNA from 1 species